UACGUAGGGUGCGAGCGUUAAUCGGAAUUACUGGGCGUAAAGCGUGCGCAGGCGGUUUUGUAAGCCGGAUGUGAAAUCCCCGGGCUUAACCUGGGAAUGGCAUUUGGGACUGCAAGGCUCGAGUGCGGCAGAGGAGACUGGAAUUCCUGGUGUAGCGGUGAAAUGCGCAGAUAUCAGGAGGAACACCGGUGGCGAAGGCGGCUUUCGGGGCCUUACCUGACGCUGAGGAGCGAAAGCUGGGGGAGCGAACGGG
rnacentral:rRNA from 1 species